rnacentral:misc_RNA from 1 species
GUGAAUCAUCGAAUUUUUGAACGCAAAUUGCACUAUCUGGUGUUACGGUGAGUAUGCCUAUUUGAGGCUAAUAUGAAUUAAUAUAAAUUUCGAUAUUUUCUUGAGAUCAAAAAUGGGUGGGUCAUGCUUUCGCGUGGUGGUCGCCUAAAAUGAAAGACAAGUUCAUUUUUUUGGGUUGCGUGAUACUUUUAGUUACUUCGCAACUUAACCAGGAA